AACGAACGCUGGCGGCAGGCUUAACACAUGCAAGUCGAGCGCCCCGCAAGGGGAGCGGCAGACGGGUGAGUAACGCGUGGGAAUCUACCGUACCCUACGGAAUAGCUCCGGGAAACUGGAAUUAAUACCGUAUACGCCCUACGGGGGAAAGAUUUAUCGGGGUAUGAUGAGCCCGCGUUGGAUUAGCUAGUUGGUGGGGUAAAGGCCUACCAAGGCGACGAUCCAUAGCUGGUGUGAGAGGAUGAUCAGCCACAUUGGUCCUGAGACACGGCCCAAACUCCGACGGGAGGCAGCAGUGGGGAAUAUUGGACAAUGGGAGCAAGCCUGAUCCAGCCAUGCCCCGUGAGUGAUGAAGGUCUUAGGAUUGUAAAGCUCUUUCACCGAUGAAGAUAAUUACGGUAGUCGGAGAAGAAGCCCCGGCUAACUUCGUGCCAGCAGCCGCGUUAACAC
rnacentral:rRNA from 1 species